GAUCAUGGCUCAGGAUGAACGCUAGCGACAGGCUUAACACAUGCAAGUCGAGGGGCAGCACAGGUAGCAAUACCGGGUGGCGACCGGCGCACGGGUGAGUAACGCGUAUGCAACUUACGUAUCAGAGGGGGAUAACCCGGCGAAAGUCGGACUAAUACCGCAUGAAGCAGGGGCCCCGCAUGGGGAUAUUUGCUAAAGAUUUAUCGCUGAUAGAUAGGCAUACGUUCCAUUAGG
rnacentral:rRNA from 1 species